rnacentral:misc_RNA from 1 species
GGAGGACCUUCUCGCCUUAAGGGCACCUAGCACUUUAAACAACACUGAUGGUGGCCCAGUCCAAUUCGGUUCAUGUUGUGCCUUCCUACAUCAGACACAUCAUCCUUUUUUUAUAAAAGCAAAGGUUCAAACCGGAACUAGACCACCGGGUCAAGCUGUUAGCUCAGGCCCUUAAGCUGUUGACCCAGGCCAGUUCCAGGUUUGGCCCCAGUCCGGUUCAAGGGCUGAACUGGCCCCUGGCUGGGUCGACACCUUAAGACCCAACUUAUCCAGGAAGAGAAUAGAAUCAUAGGUUUAGUAAGAAAAUAGCACUUGCUUACUUCUGAAAUCUGUAACUUGUGUUAACAUACAGUACAAGACGGCAGCGGCUUCCUAUAAGUAGGCUUCUACAACUCUUUUUAAUUUUUGAAUGUCGUACACAACCAUAGAAACUAGAAGCACAACUUGAAUAGAAUAAGCAGGUA